AUUUUAUAUAUGUAAAUAUUAAAUAUGUAUAAAGGUAAGUGUGUGCUUAAGUAGUUUGCUGAGCAGAACUGGCUUGUUGAGUUGUGGGACAUAAGGAUCAUCUUGUUUCAGAGCUUCCCAGGUUCAUCAGCAUUUUCUGAGAGUUAGCACAAGGCUGAUAUUUCCAGCUGCCUGCAAGAUUCUGUUGUAUGAGACAUAUCCCGAAGAUGUGGUCAGCGUGCCGUCACGUGCACUGCUCAUCCUAUAGAAUUUAUCACCUCUCUGCUGAAAGUUUUCAGUACAACCAAGGAUUUCAUGUCAUCCUACUGAGAUAUAUGAAGGUAUAUAAAAAAACUAAACGUGCCUUUUCUUUGAAAUGGAUGGAAAAGAUGGCUUCUUUCCUUUUGUGAAUUUGCUGCACUUUAUAACAAAGCAUACAGGUGUCAAGAACAUGGGUUUGAGGAGUCAAGAGCUGACAAGUGCUCCCAGGCACCCCAAAGUGUCUCUGUCAGCUGGGAUCAGAUCUCAGACAGCAGCCACAGAGACAGAAAUGACUUGUGAUCAAGAGGAGGCAGCUCCACGAUUUCAUCUGAUGUGUGCCAUGGUCAUGAAGUUCAACAAAACAAGUCUUAGAUGCAUCGUUAAAAUUCAUCCUCGUGCUGUCAGAUGAAACAGAGUGUGUAACAGACUUCUCAGUAAACUCUUUGAAAUAAACAAAAUAUUAUCUUGAAACGUCUCA
rnacentral:lncRNA from 1 species